GGACAGAAGGCAGAAAGAGAACUCCCUUUCGUGCACUGCUCUCGGGACUGCUGGCUAUUUGCAGAAUUCUUAUGUCAACAGCACCAGUAAACAAGCGUUAAUAUUGCAAGUGGAGGCAACAACCAGAGGGAAUUCAAUGUCGUUAGCUGCAUGGAGAUGGGAGAGGGCAUCGUGGCAGCUCCUGGAAGCCAGCGCUCUGUGGCUGUCAGCGGUGUGAAAUGGAGCUGCUUCAAAGCCGACUGGGCUGUGACCUGAAAGCUGCGCAUCCCUGCACCUGAUGCCCAGGAAAAUAUGAGGUUACCUAUCAAGCCUAACACCCUCAAUGGAAAUAAAGCAACUCCAAGCUCCGUGAAGAAGGCCGGGUGUCCCAAGAGUUCACUUCCCACAUCACUCUCAGGCCCUCUGAUGAUUCACUGGACCAGGACACAGAGGAAAGUGGAAAAGAAGUGGUGAGAGAACACGGGUAUCAGUUUUUCUUUCCUUCAGUGUCCACCUGCAUAUUUCCAAAGCAAUAACCCAAAUGGCUCCAUUCACAACUAGAACACGAGUAGGGUUCUAAAAAAACAAAAACAAAACUAGGAUUGAGGUCAGCUCCUAAAGUUGCCUUGGAAAACAACUAUGAAAGUGAAUCCUGUUAAACUCACUUCAAAAUAUGACAAAAGAGAAGACAACAUAUAAACUUUUUAGCAGAAGGGUGCAAGAAAGAUUAAAAGGCAAUCUUAACAAUUGCACUGUUUUACAACCCAACUAGAUCUUAGUUUUACCUAAAAUGCAGCAAUGAUUUUUGUUUUACAAAGAGAAAAAAAAAUCAAUUUUAGUUUUAUUUAAAAAUAUGCAACCUAAGAACCACUAUGUAUUUAUGUUGUUUGGGACUGUGCUGUGAAACAAGCUACUUCUUCAGUCUCCAACUUCCUCUUUAUCACUUGGUGAGUGAGCACCUGGGGUAGGAACACAAGGCAUGGUAAGAAAAGUGAAUCAAGAUAAAGACAGCAAAACUGACAAGAACGACCAGAAAGCCUCACGAACAACUGAUGAUGACCCCAUCAGUCCUGCAACUGACUGUUAUGGGUGUUAAUCAUUUAGGAAAUUGUAAUAAAGGACAGAUGAGCUACUGACAAACAUUCAGGCUAAGGAGUCUUCAGCUCAGGUCCCUCAUUUGCCUAGGCCCUAAAGGGCUUCAGAAUCUCCUAGGCACAGAAAAGAAGUCAGGCUGCAAACAAGAAGGAUUUCUAUUCAAGUAUUUCUGGUAAAUUCCCCCCCAGAGAUUUCAGAAGAAAAAUCUCCAUGAAUCCAGUAAUUUUUGUAGAUUUUUGGAGUGAUUUUUAAUAAUAAUUAAUAAUUUUUAAUAACUUAUAAUUUUAAAUACAUAUUCACUAUUCAUUUAAAAAUUAUUAAAUGUUUAAAUUAAAGAAUGUCUUUGCUAAUAAUUAGGACUCUGCUCUGUCUACAUGCAAUAAUUUAUUAAAGAUGCUUUAAUCAAACAUCAAGCCUUUAAAAAUGGAAGCCUUUGAAAAAAACAGACUGAAAAAACAAUAAUUAUAAGUCUUAUGCAUACUUACACAAGAAACAUAAAAGUCCUGGCUUAAAAAUUUUAUUGUCUGAAUACAAAUUCAACAUAAAAUACGAGUGGAUAAUGUGAGGUGUUUUGAUUGUGCACAAGACUUGAAGACCUUUCUUAGGUUCAGGAAACAGAAGUCAAUCAAAAGUUACAAAGAAAAAAAAAACACACAAAAAUUGGGGCAGGAGUUUAGCCAGUGAUUGAUAAGACACUGUGCCUAACUCUGGGGUUCCUGGGGUCUAUUCCUGACUCUGCCUCGUGACGUCAGCUUCUUGUUGAUGCAGACCUGGAGAGCUACCAGUGAUGGCGCCAGUAACUGUGGCUCAAGUAAUUGGGUUCCUGCCACCCAUGUGGGAGACUUAGCUUGAGUUUCCUACUCCCAGCUUUGGCCUUGAUUAGCCUUGGCUGCUGCAGGCAUGUUGGGAAUAAACCAGUGGAUAGCAGCUCAUUCUCUGUCUCUGCUUCUCGGAUAAAUACCUUUUUUAGAAAUUCAAGUAAGACAGAAUUAAGAAGAAAAAAAAAUAACUGCAAGACUGAAAAAAAAAGAGUCGAAGAGAAAGUAUGGAAAAUAUU